rnacentral:rRNA from 1 species
UACGUAGGGGGCAAGCGUUGUCCGGAUUUAUUGGGCGUAAAGAGCGUGUAGGCGGCCAGGUAGGUCGGUUGUGAAAACUGGAGGCUUAACCUUCAGACGUCGACCGAAACCAUCUGGCUAGAGUCCGGAAGAGGAGAGUGGAAUUCCUGGUGUAGCGGUGGAAUGCGCAGAUAUCAGGAAGAACACCCGUGGCGAAGGCGGCUCUCUGGGACGGUACUGACGCUGAGACGCGAAAGCGUGGGGAGCGAACAGG